UCUAGUUACAUGCAUUAAUUGUUUGUUCUAUUAACAAGGAAUAGAGGUUAGGGUGCUUUGCGAAAAAGCUAAGGAGGUUUUAAUGGAAGAAAGCAAUGUUCAGGCCAACUGUUCAAUCUGUUCAAAGCUCACAAAGAUCCUAGACAAAAUCCAAUUGCUUAUUCCUGUAAUAGAUUGAGAAAGACAAGCUACUUCUUCAUUAUUGUGGUAGUAAU